GAGCGGCGGGGCUGAGGCGCGGCGGCCCCGCGGAGCAGCGCAGUAUGGCGGGCGGGGCCCGGGAGGUGCUGACACUGCAGUUGGGACAUUUUGCCGGUUUCGUGGGCGCGCACUGGUGGAACCAGCAGGAUGCUGCGCUGGGCCGAGCGACCGAUUCCAAGGAGCCCCCGGGAGAGCUGUGCCCCGACGUCCUGUAUCGUACGGGCCGGACGCUGCACGGCCAGGAGACCUACACGCCGCGACUCAUCCUCAUGGAUCUGAAGGGUAGUUUGAGCUCCCUAAAAGAGGAAGGUGGACUCUACAGGGACAAACAGUUGGAUGCUGCAAUAGCAUGGCAGGGGAAACUCACCACACACAAAGAGGAACUCUAUCCCAAGAACCCUUAUCUCCAAGACUUUCUGAGUGCAGAGGUGAGGGCCUCUGUCCUGAACUUUUUAACCCAGUGCUACAACCCAAGGGUCUCCAUAGGGGCAGGGAGUGCUGAGUAGUGAUGGUGUUUGGAGGGUCAAAUCCAUUCCCAAUGGCAAAGGUUCCUCACCACUCACCACCGCUACAACUCCAAAACCACUUAUCCCUACAGAGGCCAGCAUCAGGGUCUGGUCAGACUUCCUCAGAGUCCAUCUCCAUCCCCGGAGCAUCUGUAUGAUUCAGAAGUACAACCACGAUGGGACAAGAGGCUGAGGAGUUGAGGGAAGAGAUGUAAGUCUUGGAUCGUGUUUACUUGUGGCAGGGAAGCAGGUCGGCUGGAGGCUUUUGGCCAAGGGGAAAGUGUCCUAAAGGAACCCAAGUACCAGGAAGAGCUGGAGGACAGGCUGCACUUCUACGUGGAGGAAUGUGACUACUUGCAGGGCUUCCAGAUCCUGUGUGACCUGCACGAUGGCUUCUCUGGGGUAGGCGCGAAGGCGGCAGAGCUGCUACAAGAUGAAUAUUCAGGGCGGGGAAUAAUAACUUGGGGCCUGCUACCUGGUCCCUACCAUCGUGGG
rnacentral:sRNA from 1 species